UUUUAUAAUGCAUUUAAUGGCCUUCACACAAAAUAAAACAUAGCACAAAAUACAUGACAACAACAUGGACAUACUCAGAUCUAAAAUAAACUAGACUUCACAAGGAAUCUAACACAACAAGAAUCAUAUUUUUAGCAUUUUUCUACUAGUUUCUAUGCAUUUUCAAAGGUUGCAACAUUUAAAACUAGCCAUUUUAAAAACUAGUCCGAAACUAAUUGCAAGCUACCCCCUAGAAAAAUCUUCUCUCUCACGGAUCUAUCCUUUUUCUUUCAAUCUACCCCCUGCGUUUCACUAUCUAGCCCCUUGAAAGAUUCCACCUUCAAACAUAAAACCAAACUUUAUGGAUAACCCCGUGAACUUCUAUCUUCUCCUCCACACAGGUCCUCACGCAUAACAG
rnacentral:lncRNA from 1 species